CUGACGGAGCACGCCGCGUGAGUGAUGAAGGAUUUCGGUCUGUAAAGCUCUGUUGUUUAUGACGAACGUGCAGUGUGUGAACAAUGCAUUGCAAUGACGGUAGUAAACGAGGAAGCCACGGCUAACUACGUGCCAGCAGCCGCGGUAAUACGUAGGUGGCGAGCGUUGUCCGGAAUUAUUGGGCGUAAAGAGCAUGUAGGCGGCUUAAUAAGUCGAGCGUGAAAAUGCGGGGCUCAACCCCGUAUGGCGCUGGAAACUGUUAGGCUUGAGUGCAGGAGAGGAAAGGGGAAUUCCCAGUGUAGCGGUGAAAUGCGUAGAUAUUGGGAGGAACACCAGUGGCGAAGGCGCCUUUCUGGACUGUGUCUGACGCUGAGAUGCGAAAGCCAGGGUAGCGAACGGGAUUAGAUACCCCGGUAGUCCUGGCCGUAAACGAUGGGUACUAGGUGUAGGAGGUAUCGACCCCUUCUGUGCCGGAGUUAACGCAAUAAGUACCCCGCCUGGGAGUACGGCCGCAAGGUUGAAAC
rnacentral:rRNA from 1 species